rnacentral:rRNA from 1 species
AUUGAACGCCGGCGGCAGGCCUAACACAUGCAAGUCGAGCGGUAACACAGGGAGCUUGCUCCCGGGUGACGAGCGGCGGACGGGUGAGUAAUGUCUGGGAAACUGCCUGAUGGAGGGGGAUAACUACUGGAAACGGUAGCUAAUACCGCAUAACGUCGCAAGACCAAAGAGGGGGACCUUCGGGCCUCUUGCCAUCAGAUGUGCCCAGAUGGGAUUAGCUAGUAGGUGGGGUAAUGGCUCACCUAGGCGACGAUCCCUAGCUGGUCUGAGAGGAUGACCAGCCACACUGGAACUGAGACACGGUCCAGACUCCUACGGGAGGCAGCAGUGGGGAAUAUUGCACAAUGGGCGCAAGCCUGAUGCAGCCAUGCCGCGUGUAUGAAGAAGGCCUUCGGGUUGUAAAGUACUUUCAGCGGGGAGGGAGGUGCUGAGGUUAAUAACCUCAGCAAUUGACGUUACCCGCAGAAGAAGCACCGGCUAACUCCGUGCCAGCAGCCGCCGCGGUAA